GCUCUUUGACAUACUUGAUAUAAGGCGACAAUAAUAGAUAACUCACGCAGGUGCAAUGCCUGCACAGUGAAUAACAAUACCGCUUGCAAGGUCAGACUUAGCGUGCUGACCGCUGAACGGCUUACGACCGACACCCCGCCCCUCGCAAAGGGCUUGCAAGCAC
rnacentral:sRNA from 12 species